rnacentral:tRNA from 1 species
AGGGGUAUAUCUCAGUAGUAGAGCUCAAGCUUAGCACGCAUGAUGUCCUGGGUUCAAACCCCGGUACCUCCA